AGUUGGGCCUCAAGUUUCAGAGGAGCAUGUUGGAUCUCUCCUUGCAGUGGAGGUUUGCCAAGCUGCCCAACAAUGCCAAGCUGGAGAUGGUGCCAGUCUCGCGUAACCGUGGGGGAAC